UGUGCAGUACAUGUAGCGCAUAGACUUACUGUGAGUAGAAUUAAAGCCUACAAAAGAACAUAUUUCUCUCUCUCUCUCUCUCUCUCUCUCUCUCUUUUUUUUUUUUUUUUUAUUACAGAAAAUAAUGACUUUAUUAAUGUGUGGCUUUUUAAGCCAGUCAAUGAGAUCAUUGAAUAAGGUUGCAAGAAAUUACUGUGACAGGUCUGUCAUCUGCCUCUGAUUUUUACACUGAUUUACUUUGUGUGUUUAUUCUGUUUUUUGUUUUGUUUUGUUUUGUUUUUCUUUCCUCUAACAGGCACUACAAGAGUAAAAGGGAUGAGAUCCUUACUCUUCCUUUUCUAUCCUCUUAAUAAUCUCAAGAGAUCCCUGUGUUCCAUGGGAUCAAAGGAAAGUGAAACCUUUGUGAAACCUUUGUGACCACAAGGUGGGAACAGGUUUGCGCUGCAUCCUGUGGGAUAUUAGAACGAGCUGCCAAGAAGCUAGAAGGCGGUUAUUUCUAGACAAUAUAUCUAUAGACCACAGAGCACAUGGCAGUCUCCAAGGAAGACAACGUGUUGCAGACUGCUGGAGAACUCUUCCCUUGCAGGCAACUUCUGUGGGAGACGAAAGGAGAUGCCAGGUAAGAGGUGAUAUGGCUGCCCUGGGGAACUUGUUUCAGCACCACAAUUUUGGUGCAUAUAUGGGAAAAGAGGUUUUAUUUUUAAGUUAACUGUAUCAGGUUUGGGCAGUCAAAUACUUGUGAAACAUGUUGAAUGAUCUUGAAAGUGGAU
rnacentral:lncRNA from 1 species